UUUUCUUGGUCGAGGAAAAAAGGAAGGAAAAAAAAAAGGAAGAGAGAGAAAGACAGAGAGUUGAUCUUCGAAGAAAACAGGUAGAUAGAGAGAGUUGUGUCAGAAGAAAAAUAUAAGAAGCUUUUAAUGCGAGGUGGUUGAUGAAUGAUGAUGGGUUCUCUUUUCUUUUUUCCUUUUUUAUUUUUUCCAUUUCGUUUCUCUU
rnacentral:misc_RNA from 1 species